rnacentral:rRNA from 1 species
AGCAGCCGCGGUAAUUCCAGCUCCAAUAGCGUAUAUUAAAGUUGUUGCAGUUAAAAAGCUCGUAGUUGAAUUUCGGGAUCAAUACGCCUGUCGUGCCUUCGGUACGUACGGGUGUAAUUGGUCUCUACCUUCUGAGGAUCCUUGAUGUCAUUAAUUUGGUGUCUUGGGGAAUCAGGACUGUUACCUUAGAAAAAAUUAGAGUAGUUUAAAGCAGGCAUACGCUUGAAUACAUUAGCAUGGAAUAAUGAAAUAGGACGUUCGAUUCUAUUUUGUUGGUUUCUAGGAUCGACGUAAUGAUUAAUAGGGAUAGUUGGGGGCAUUAGUAUUCAAUUGUCAGAGGUGAAAUUCUUGGAUUUAUUGAAGACUAACUACUGCGAAAGCAUUUGCCAAGGAUGUUUUCAUUAAUCAAGAACGAAAGUUAGGGGAUCGAAGACGAUCAGAUACCGUCGUAGUCUUAACCAUAAACUAUGCCGACUAGGGAUCGGAUGAUGUUAAUUUUUAAUGACUCAUUCGGCGCCUU